rnacentral:rRNA from 1 species
UACGCAUUUAGUAGACCGCCUGGGGAGUACGGCCGCAAGGUUAAAACUCAAAUGAAUUGACGGGGGCCCGCACGAGCGGUGGAGCAUGUGGUUUAAUUCGAUGCAACGCGAAGAACCUUACCUACUCUUGACAUCCAGCGAAGCCUUUAGAGAUAGAGGUGUGCCUUCGGGAGCGCUGAGACAGGUGCUGCAUGGCUGUCGUCAGCUCGUGUUGUGAAAUGUUGGGUUAAGUCCCGCAACGAGCGCAACCCUUAUCCUUGUUUGCCAGCACAUAAUGGUGGGAACUCCAGGGAGACUGCCGGUGAUAAACCGGAGGAAGGUGGGGACGACGUCAAGUCAUCAUGGCCCUUACGAGUAGGGCUACACACGUGCUACAAUGGCAGAUACAGAGGGCAGCGAGACAGCGAUGUUUAGCGAAUCCCUUAAAGUUUGUCGUAGUCCGGAUUGGAGUCUGCAACUCGACUCCAUGAAGUCGGAAUCGCUAGUAAUCGUGGAUCAGAAUGCCACGGUGAAUACGUUCCCGGGCCUUGUACACACCGCCCGUCACACCAUGGGAGUGGGCUGCACCAGAAGUAGAUAGCUUAACCUUCGGGAGGGCGUUUACCACGGUGUGGUUCAUGACU